AACCUAGGAUAGCUCAGUUGGUACAGCAUGAGACUCUUAAUUUCAGGGUUGUGGGUUUGAGCCCUAUAUUGGUCA